UACGUAGCGUGCGAGCGUUGUCCGGAUUUAUUGGGCGUAAAGGGCUCGUAGGUGGUUGAUCGCGUCGGAAGUGUAAUCUUGGGGCUUAACCCUGAGCGUGCUUUCGAUACGGGUUGACUUGAGGAAGGUAGGGGAGAAUGGAAUUCCUGGUGGAGCGGUGGAAUGCGCAGAUAUCAGGAGGAACACCAGUGGCGAAGGCGGUUCUCUGGGCCUUUCCUGACGCUGAGRAGCGAAARCKUGGGGAGCGAACAGGCUUUARAUACCCUGGUAGUCCACGCUUGUAAACGGUGGGUACUAGGUGUGGGGUCCAUUCCACGGGUUCCGUGCCGUAGCUAACGCUUUAAGUACCCCGCCUGGGGAGUACGGCCGCAAGGCUAAAACUCAAAGGAAUUGACGGGSCCCCGCACAAGCGGCGGAGCAUGCGGAUUAAUUCGAUGCAACGCGUAGAACCUUACCUGGGUUUGACAUGGAUCGGGAGUGCUCAGAGAUGGGUGUGCCUCUUUUGGGGUCGGUUCACAGGUGGUGCAUGGCUGUCGUCAGCUCGUGUCGUGAGAUGUUGGGUUAAGUCCCGCAACGAGCGCAACCCUUGUUCACUGUUGSCAGCACGUUAUGGUGGGGACUCAGUGGAGACCGCCGGGGUCAACUCGGAGGAAGGUGGGGAUGACGUCAAGUCAUCAUGCCCCUUAUGUCCAGGGCUUCACGCAUGCUACAAUGGCUGGUACAGAGAGUGGCGAGCCUGUGAGGGUGAGCGAAUCUCGGAAAGCCGGUCUCAGUUCGGAUUGGGGUCUGCAACUCGACCUCAUGAAGUCGGAGUCGCUAGUAAUCGCAGAUCAGCAACGCUGCGGUGAAUACGUUCCCGGGGC
rnacentral:rRNA from 1 species